rnacentral:tRNA from 1 species
UUAGUUGAAACCAAAAAGAGGUAUGUCACUGUUAAUGAUAAAAUUGAAAUAAAUUCCAGCUAAA